rnacentral:rRNA from 1 species
UACGGAGGAUCCAAGCGUUAUCCGGAAUUACUGGGCGUAAAGAGUUGCGUAGGUGGCAUUGUAAGCGAGUAGUGAAAGCGUUCGGCUCAACCGGAUACACAUUACUUGAACUGCAAAGCUAGAGGACGAGAGAGGCAUCUGGAAUUCCUAGUGUAGGAGUGAAAUCCGUAGAUAUUAGGAGGAACACCGAUGGCGUAGGCAGGGUGCUGGCUCGUUCCUGACACUAAGGCACGAAAGCGUGGGGAGCAAACGGG